rnacentral:rRNA from 1 species
UACAGAGGCCUCGAGCGUUAGGCGGAAUCACUGGGCGUAAAGCAUGCGCAGGCGGCUUGCAAGACAGAUGUGAAAUCCCCGGGCUUAACCUGGGAACUGCAUUUGUGACUGCAUGGCUGGAGUGCGGCAGAGGGGGAUGGAAUUCCGCGUGUAGCAGUGAAAUGCGUAGAUAUGCGGAGGAACACCGAUGGCGAAGGCAAUCCCCUGGGCCUGCACUGACGCUCAUGCACGAAAGCGUGGGGAGCAAACAGG